GCGUUAAUCUAAAGUUUAUUUCACAGUAUAACAAACAUUUUUUAUAACUAGUAUACAAGUAUUAACUGUAUUGAUGUCCUUGCUAUUCUUAAGUUUUUAACAUGACCGCCGUUUGAUUGAUUGAUAGAAAUGUACGUAUUUAUUUUUACACUCAUAUCUGGUCUCUUUGUUGCACUCCUUCCUGUUUAACAAAAAACUUGUUGUGCAUCAUUUCAUUAAGUAUGAAGGUCUAGAUGUUGCGUCCUUCAUUUUUGUAUUUUUUUUUUAAUUUUUAGAGCAUUUUUCUUUAUCUUUGAAACUAGCGCUUAUUCUGUAAAUUCGCAGGAAAACGAUUUAACGUUUGAAUCUAUCUGUUAUUAUG
rnacentral:lncRNA from 1 species